GGUGUUUCCGCGCGCUGCUCUGGUUCGCCAAAAGCUGCUUAGUCAUGCUGGCCACAUGACCCGGAAGCUGUAUGUCGGCUCCCUCGGCCUAUAGAGCGAGAUGAGCGCCGCAAUCCCAGAGUCGUCUGCAACUGGACCUAACGGUCAGGGGUACCUUUACCUUUACCUUUAAUAUUUUCUUUUAUUACUUGUGUGUAUAUAUACUCAGCUUUGGGGCUUUAGGGUGAAGGGUUACAAAAAGGUCUUAAAAAGAAAACAAAAUAAAUGCUUAAUCCUCUUAAGCAGAAGUGGGGAACUUUUGGACCACCAGAUGUUGUUGGACUGCAACUCUCACCAUCCCUGACCAUUGGCCAUGAAAGCAGGUGCUGAUGGGAGUUGUAGUCCAGCAACAUCUUGAGAGCCAAGGGUUCCCCAUUCCUGCUCUAGAAGUAUUACCUGUACAUCAGCAUGCAGCCGGAAAAAGCCUUGUGUGCUCUUUUUGCAGUGCAUAGCUUGUUGCUCCUUUCAUGCUACACUAUUCAGAGGCUUGCUAUUUGUCCCACCACGAGAGGCUUCUCUGGCAUGAAUAACUACCCACUGAACAUGCAUAUUAAUCCAAAUGAAACUAACUUCCUCUGGGGGACAUAUUUAAUUCCUGCAGUCAGAUCUGUCUGGGCAGAACUACUGAGCCAGGGACCAGUGCACCACUCUGUUUACAUGAAGAUAAAUAAUUAAACUACCCUGCUUCAAAAUAAACAUGAGAGCCAUCCCUCCCUUUAAAAGGGGCACAAUCUUCAGGAGUUCCUGAAAAAGAAGCGGUAAAGUUAUCCCUACUUUCCAUUUAAAAAUUCUGACUUGAUUUGUUACUCAAUGGAGGACAGAACAUGUUUUUUUUUCCCCCGUAGCAAAGGAAAAUGUCCUAGCAAAGAAAAAUGAUCUGUGCUUUGUAAACAUGGCAUUCAAUGCAGUGGGAACAGAAUGGGGGCAAGACAUCUUGGUGGGUGGGUAUAAACCAUGAAGCAGCCCAUGGUUUCUAAACACUGAGAUCCUGCAGUAAAUGAUGUGCAAUGCUUAUUAUUUCCCCUUCUUAACAGAUGUUCCUUAAGAUGUGAAUGUGUUCCAGAAAAACUAGAUUUGAGCUGCUGGACUUGCCAAGUGCCUGAUUUGGUGGCCCACUGCAUAGUCACAGGGGGUCAGAGGUGAUAUUCCUCAAAGCAGAACUUUGGCAGACCGAGGGGAUGCACAGAAUAUGGCUUCACUACAAUCUCUUUUAUUUGGUUCCUUGUAAAUUAUGGAAUUUACAAGAGGUUGUGAUGGCCACCAACUUGAAUGGCUUUAUAAGGAGGAUCAGACAAAUUCAUGGAGGACAAGGCUAUCAGUGGCUGCGUACACUUCUCCCAGGGUCAGAGGUAGUAUGCUUCUGUAUACCAGUUUGAAGAAUCAGAAUGCUGAUGCAUUCAUGUCUUGCUUGUGGGCUUCCCAUGGGUAUCCGGCUGGUCAAUGUAAGAACAGGAUUCUGGACUAGGUAGGCCUUUGGCCCAACCUACCAGGGCUCUUAUGUUCUUACGUUCUCAAAUCAUCAGACUGCUCUACUGGCAUAGCACUCUUUUAUUUCACUUGGGCUUGCACUGGCAUGGCAUGUGAAGAUCCGGCUGUUGGGGAGAUCAAAGCCUCGGAGCAGAUGCAAAUUGUUUCUGAUUGCCUCGCCUCCAUUUGAGAGUAGAAUCAAAGAUAGUUCCUGUGCAACAUCUCCUUUAUUGCUGCGAGAAAUCCCUCAGAGUUCUGUAAUCUCUUAUUAAUAUUUUUGACUAUGGAUUUGACACAAGUCUCCCAUCGUUAAAAUGACUUUUCUCUUUUAUCAGGAAUCUUUAGCUGGCACUUGUAAAAGCCUGGCAGUUUUAUAUUAAUAAUUUCCACAGCACUUCUAGAGCACUUUAUCAUUUUUAUAGCACUUUCUUUGUUGCUCUGCAGCGGCAGAAACACAGGGGCAGGGAAUCAGUCCUCAGACACUGUCCAGAAGCAGAGGUGCCCUCAAGACUGGACUUUUUUUGGGGGGGGGGCAGAUGUGUCCAUAGCACUACUCAGCAGAAUGAGAAGCAGGGCCCCCAAAUUUGUCAUGGUUGGCUUCUCACAUUUGAAAGUGAAAUAAUAUAACACCUUGCCAUGUAAAGAGAGGGAGAUCAUAAGACCAUGAAGGGCUUAUGCCGAUGAUCUGGUUUUUUUUAAGUAGUUAUCCUGAUUUGCCUGGUGAGCUAAUGCAGAGGUUAGAUUUCUCAUUAUAGUGGUACCUUUUGUUCUCAAGCUUAAUCCAUUCUGGAAGUCCGUUCCAAAACCAAAGCGUUACAAAACCAAGGCGCGCUUUCCCAUAGAAAGUAAUGCAAAAUGCAUUAAUCCAUUCCAGACUUCUAAAAACAACCCCUAAAGCAGCAAUUUAACAUGAAUUUUACUACAGUGGAACCUCGGUUUAUGAACACCUCGGUUUAUGAAUUUUCAGUUUAUGAACACCGCGGACCCAUCUGGAACGGAUUAAUUCACUUUCCAUUACUUUUAAUGGGAAAGUUCGCUUCAGUUUAUGAACGCUUCAGUUUAUGAACAGACUUCCGGAACCAAUUACACUCAUGUUUCAGUUUAUGAACGCUUCAGUUUAAGUACUCUGCGGACCCGUCUGAAACGGAUUAAUCCACUUUCCGUUACUUUCAAUGGGAAAGUUCGCUUCAGUUUAUGAACGGUUACUCCGCAGACCGUCUGGAACGGAUUAAUCCACUUUCCAUUACUUUCAAUGGGAAAGUUCGUUUCAGUUUAUGAACGCUUCAGUUUAUGAACAGACUUCCGGAACCAAUUGUGUUCAUAAACCGAGGUACCACUGUAUCUAACGAGACCAUUGAUCCAUAAAAUGAAAGCAACAAACAAUGUACUGCAGUCACACAAUCAAUCAAUCAAUCAAUCAAUCAGUAGCUGAAUUGGGUUCCACACAGUCACAAAAAUAAAAACAAAAGGGCCGCAAAAACGCAAAAUAAAUAGCAAAAUUAGACAGACCUCAGUGUAACACUCCAAAUGGAAGCAUGGCACUCAAAACGGAGCACGUUCAACUUCCGAAAAAAGUUUGCAAACUGGAACACUUACUUUCGGGUUUGCAGUGUUUGGGUUCCAAGUUGUUUGAGUACCAAGGCAUUUGAGAACCAAGGUACCACUGUAUUAUAUUUUCCCCAACCACCACCAGUACACAUGCUGAACUUUCAUCAGGCACGCUAGGGGCAUGUGAUUGUUGUUGGCAUCUAUCUGUCUCCCAGGAGACAAUGGCAGGGAUGAGAGCGGAACGUAACCUCCACCUGUGUUACAGCAUCACACAUUCCAGGGUGGAGGAAGGUACACCUGCAGGUUCAUCAUGCAGAGACCACAAUGCAAACUGAGAGAGAGCUUUCCUAUCUCUGGCUGAGAUUCACCUACCCUGUUCCACUAGUGGAAGCCAACGCAAGGAUAUCCAGGGACAGGAGACACCCCAGAACAGUGUACGAGGGGAUGAGUCAGGCAAGCAGAAAUGCUUGCACCGAUGCCACAGUUUUCUUUAGUGCUACAUUGAGUUUUACCCUCUGAAAGUUAUUGUAUUUUAAUACUUCUGUUGGAAGCCGCCCAGAGUGGCUGGGGAAACCCAGCCAGGUGGGUGGGGUAUAAAUAAUAAAUGAUGAUGAUGAUGAUGAUGAAAGCGCCUCUGGCACAAGGCAUUUCCAACAGAGGAAAUCCACACUUUCAGCUGAAAGAGAUGAACCGAUGUGCAUGGAUCUAUGUGUGAAUCAGGCUUUAGCUGUCAGUUCUCUGCUACCUGGUGAAGUCCAUUGCCCACUCCCCCUGGAAAUCCUGGUUCCCAUUAUAAUGUGUUCACCCCACAAGUGUCUCACCCAGUCGUCUUUAGGCAGGCAGCUGUCAUAGAUGCCUCCGGCAGUAAAGCCUCUGUGGCUGCCACUGCUAUUUCAAUUCUAGGCCGGCACCCUUUUAUCAAGAAAUCUGUUCUUUCAGUGCUGGGACAGCCUGCACGAUAGGCUCUUUUUAAAUAUAUAUUAGUGUUAUUUGUAGCUUCUGUGUUUUCUCCCUCACCCUCUAGCACCGUUAAACUGUUUACUAUGACUGCUGUCUUGCUGCCAGCUUAGAUAAUCAUCACCAUCUCGUUUCAUCUCAUCUCAUAUUGGAAAUGCUCCUCCAUGGAGAUUUGCAAAGGCUGUCAGAUCAAGGCUUCGAAACUAGGAAUAUACAGCUGUCUCCUGCUUUUAAUGACCACAGCGACCACUUUCUCCACAUGACAGAGAGGAUCAUGAUGAUCAGCGGCACAGAAGAGGCAUCCCAGGCGCACUCCUAGUAGCAGGGGCCAAGUUACUCACAGGCAAGGGAUGUUAGGUUAAUUCAGAAGUGGGCCGCUUAUUCAGCACCAGGAAGCCAGGACACAUGUCAUGAGUCAGAGGGCUCGAGGUGCUUUUCAUAUUUUUAUUUGCAUGCAAUUAACAAGGCUUGCAUAACAUUUUGCAAAUAGAGUGUGACAGUGUCUGCCUGGAUGAGACACAUAUUGCACGCUCCCCUUUCUUGAUGCUUCAGUUUCUACCAGUGACAGAGCAACUGCUUCGCACACAGGAAGUCUCAGGCUCAGCUCCUGGCAUCUCCCGGUAGGGAAGGGAAAGACUUUGUGUGUGAAACCCUAAGAGUAGCUGCCAGUCAGUGCAAACAAUGCAGAGAUAGACUCUGUAUAAGGUGGCUUUCUACAUUCCACAAAUGUUGCCCAGAUGUGGUAGUUUUGAGUGGCAGGUGAUUAUUUCAGUUAAUUGAAAUUUGAGUUUUACAGACUCUCCAUACAUUGCUGAAGGAGAAUAACCAGUGUGAGUCUGACCCACCAAGUUCCAUUUAUUCAUCAAGUCCAAAGACUGGGAUCCCCUGUUCUUUAUGUUUUAUGGGCAACACAGAUCCAAAAAUAAUCCCUUUGUCCCCGACUGCCAGAGACGUCUGUGCCACCGUCAUCCUCCUUUCUGCCAGCGGCUUGUUCUCCCCACCUCUAAAACAAGAAACUCGUAAUAUUCCACUUUGUCCUCACUUGACUCUUGGCUCAGAAUUUAUUGCAUAAAGCCUGCCAAUAUUUAAAUGAAAGAUGUGUUUACACCGCUGAUACAUGGCCUUUUACUUAUGGCUGGGCUCUCAAUUUCAUUUCCUUAAUUGUUUUUGUACCUUUUUCUUGUUUUGCUUUGUUCACUUGUCUCCAUAACGGGAACAUGAAGGAGAAAGUACAUCUCAUUCCAUUCGAUACAAAGGACCCCAUGACCACGUCCUCCCUUGGAAAUAAUCUGGGACGGAGGCCAGUGGGCAGCUCCAUGACGUCUGACGAUGACUCCUAACCAACAACUCUGAAUUCCAAACUGGGGCACAGUUACCCCAUUCAGGACCAGGGAGUCCUCCAUACCUGCCCGCCUCCUGUCCCUCCAAAAAAAUACAGACAUGGGAGAAAAAGCAAAGCUGACACUUAGUGCAUCCAGCUGAUUCAUCGAUUGUUUGUGGCUUAUGCCUUUAUGCUCUUUUUGGGAACAACCAGCAGCUGCUUCCUGAACUGAACUUCAGGUGGACCCAGCCAAGAUGAGUCAGCUCAUGAGCUGCUGUAAUGCUUUCUGGCAAAUGCUCCUCUGAAAAGAAAAGAAAAAUCCCCGGCUGCAUCGCUCUCACGCCCUCUCUCUCACACACAUGUGAACUUCACUCUUCAGCCAAAAAGGCAUCCUGAGUGGCUUGCAUAGGUCCAGUUGGGGAUGACUCUGGGGUUGCGCACUCAUCUCGCUCUAUAGGCCAAGGGAGCCAGCGUUUGUCCGCAGACAGCUUCCGGGUCAUGUGGCCAGCAUGACUAAGCUGCUUCUGGCGAACCAGAGCAGAGCACGGAAGCCGUUUACCUUCCCGCAUAUAAACAGGUAAAUCAAAAGAGUUUCUGCCUGCAGGUUUACAAUCUAAAAGACAUGAGCCCCUAGAUGUCCACUUCACUGCUUUGAUUUGCAGUACUGUUACUUUUACUGUUACUGUUACUGGUGGUGGGCAAUACCAACUCUGCUCUUGUAAGUGUAAAUCUCAGCACCUACACUUUGGAACUCUCUGCCUAUUGACACCAGGCAGCCACCUUUCAAUGCUUUUUGUCACCUGCUUAAAAUAUUUUUGCUUGACCUAAAAGGCAGUGUAGAAAAUAUUAUUAUUAAUAAUAAAAAU